GAAGACUCUGGUGUGUGAUCUUGAGUGGCAGAAUGAACGAACCGUUCGUAACGUCCAGUGUCCGUACUGGUUAUAAUAGAUGUUGGUUUAGCCAGUGUGAACCAGUAAGCAUUACAGUCAUAACGUUAUAAACUAGACGGUCAAACCCAUAAAGUCCCCGCCGCAAGACGGCGGCAUUGUUGCAUGCGGACUAUGGACCUAUAAAGAAAGGUGCAUACCCGUGGACCUAUUGCGGACCACCUGUUGUGUCCUUGCUGUAUCAGGUGCGAAGAACACUUCCGUAUACACGUGCGACGUCACAGUGACGACAUCUCCAACUCCGCGUGUUGGCCCCGCCUACGCAAGAAAUCGCAGAGGACUCGCUAGACGACUCUUUAGCUCCAUCAAAAGAAGAAAAUAAUCAGAAGCUGUGAUGUUAGUUUCAUGACUCGUGUAUCAGCGUGGGUUCAUGGGAGUGUUUGUCUCCACAACUAUUGCGGGUGAAACUCCAUCUGACGCGCCUCAGCAGCAAACGUGUUCACGGACGAGGUGAGACAUUUCUUUUGACAUGUCACGGGGAAGUACACAGAAGAUAUGCCCCUUCUGCAAGGGCAUUCUUCCAUGUGCCAAAAAAAUUUGCAGCCACUGCAAUAUGGUCCAGCCCAUCAAGCAACGCCUCCAAAAGGCUUUGAGUAGAUUUGAGGAAAAGCGGGAAAAGUGGGUGUCUUCCCGCAAAAAAAACCACAACCUUGCUCAAAUAAAGGAGGAAGCGGUCCUAAUGCUUGAGAAACUUCAAGCAGCUGGCUACAAACCCGUCCUCCUUCUGGGAACACCUUGCAAGAAGUCCCACACGGUACAAGUUUUCUUACCUCGCUGCACCUUGGCCCCUUACACGGAGGAGUCCCUUAAACAAAUGCGCUCUAUUCAUGAGUCUGUGUGUCAAGUGAGCAACAACUUUCAAACUUGCACAGGCUGGACGCCUUAUACCACUGGGACUGAAGAGGUUUUUACUCUCAGUCUUAAGCCCUGGAACCCCAGCCCUGUGGUCAUAGAGGAGCCAGAAGAGGACAGGGGAACCUCACAGAUGGAGAUGGACAUAGAAGAGGUUGAAGAGAGGGCCGUGCCGGUUGAGGAGGGGGCCGUAGAGGAGGGGGCCGUAGAGGAGGGGGC